rnacentral:rRNA from 1 species
AGCAGCCGCGGUAAUUCCAGCUCCAAUAGCGUAUAUUAAAGUUGUUGCAGUUAAAAAGCUCGUAGUUGAAUUUCGGGGUUAGUAGGUUGGUCAUGCCUCUGGUAUGUACUGGUCUCACUGAUUCCUCCUUCCUGAUGAGCCGUAAUGCCAUUAAUUUGGUGUCGCGAGGAAUCUGGACUGUUACUUUGAAAAAUUAGAGUGUUUAAAGCAGGCUAACGCUUGAAUACAUUAGCAUGGAAUAAUGAAAUAGGACGUUCGAUCCUAUUUUGUUGGUUUCUAGGAUUGACGUAAUGAUUAAUAGGGAUAGUUGGGGGCAUUAGUAUUCAAUUGUCAGAGGUGAAAUUCUUGGAUUUAUUGAAGACUAACUACUGCGAAAGCAUUUGCCAAGGAUGUUUUCAUUAAUCAAGAACGAAAGUUAGGGGAUCGAAGACGAUCAGAUACCGUCGUAGU